CUUCGAUUUUUGAGAAAGUAAUCAUGUUGGGAGUCUAGCUCUCAAGAUUCGGAGGGCGGUGCCUCUUCGAUUUUGGAGCAAGCAAUCUUGUUGGGAGUGUUUGCUCGAAUGUGAGUAAAGGUUGGGCAUGUUUGCUAGUCUACCUUGCCACGAAACACAGAGGUUGACACACCGGGACUUUCCAAUUAUCCAGCAGUGGUACUGUUCCUUUACCCUUGUGG
rnacentral:lncRNA from 1 species